rnacentral:rRNA from 1 species
CCUACGGGAGGCUGCAGUGAGGAAUAUUGGUCAAUGGGCGUAAGCCUGAACCAGCCAAGUCGCGUGAGGGAUGAAGGUUCUAUGGAUCGUAAACCUCUUUUAUAAGGGAAUAAAGUGUGGGACGUGUCCUGUUUUGUAUGUACCUUAUGAAUAAGGAUUGGCUAACGCCGUGCCAGCAGCCGCGGUAAUACGGAGGAUCCGAGCGUUAUCCGGAUUUAUUGGGUUUAAAGGGUGCGUAGGCGGCCUUUUAAGUCAGCGGUGAAAGUCUGUGGCUCAACCAUAGAAUUGCCGUUGAAACUGGGAGGCUUGAGUAUGUUUGAGGCAGGCGGAAUGCGUGGUGUAGCGGUGAAAUGCUUAGAUAUCAGGCAGAACCCCGAUUGCGAAGGCAGCCUGCCAAGCCAUGACUGACGCUGAUGCACGAAAGCGUGGGGAUCAAACAGGAUUAGAUACCCGAGUAGUC